rnacentral:rRNA from 1 species
UACAGAGGUCCCAAGCGUUGUUCGGAUUCACUGGGCGUAAAGGGUGCGUAGGCGGUCGGGUAAGUCUGGCGUGAAAUCUCCAAGCCUAACUUGGAAACUGCGUUGGAUACUAUCCGGCUCGAGGAAUGGAGGGGAGACUGGAAUACUUGGUGUAGCAGUGAAAUGCGUAGAUAUCAGGAGGAAUACCGAUGGCGAAGGCAGGUCUCUGGGCUGACACUGACGCUCAUGCACGAAAGCGUGGGGAGCAAACAGG